CACAGUUCAAAUUUGGCAAAGUUGAGUUCUUGAAAUCAGGUUUUCUAAUGGCAAACAUGAGUGGAAAAAAAUAGUUGUGGAUAGUGUUGCUGUCUUAUAAUAUUAUAUUUUAAAAUUUCACAAUCAGUAGGCUAUCCUUCUAAGAUCAGUGUGAGAGAAGGACAUAGAAGAGAGUAUCUAGUUACUAAAGAGUUGCAAUUAUAAAAGGCUACUUUUCAGCAUAAUGUGCCUGCACAGACCCUACACCUUUGGUUUUAGAAAGGCAACUGUAUCAUUUUGUGUUUUUCAGCACAAUGACAAAAAAUUUCUGCCAUCAGAAAUUUUCCUAGACAACUGCAAAUAUUUAAUAAGCUAUUCUGAGGAGUUUAAGUGUGCUUUCAGAAGAUUUUUAAGUGUAGCACAUCCACCAAAUGUCUUAUGAAAAACAGAAAACUAGCUUUGAAGGAACAUGGAUUAGUUUCCUAAAUUAUUUGCUGUGUCGACUGCAUGGGAACAGUUUGUUCACAGCCUGAACCAGUGAUUGAGCACCUGGUGAAGGGGCGUAGCCAGCCCUGGGAGCACACGUGUGAGUAAUUCACCUGUGCAACCAAAGGGUUGUGUGCAACCAAAAUUCACCUGUGCAACCAAAAGGAGUCUGGGUCCACCUCCUCCCUAACCUCAUUUAAGGGCUGGAGCUGAAAGGGAAAUAUCUCUCUUUGGAGAUUGUCUUCUUUGGGAGUUUCUAGUGAGUCCUGUUCUUUGGAAAGGGCUAGUGAUUGAAAGUGUGAAUGCUGACUUCAAAAAAUGCUGCAUGCUCUGAAGAAUCCCACUACUAAGGAACUGAUGCAACAAAAGCUGCUGGAGUGGAAGCUAUUGGAUCUCAGCAACUGGAAGCAAGGAAUAUGUCCAAGAUGGAUACCAGCGUGAUGAGUCUGGCCAUACCAUCAUUUGCUGUAACAUGAACACAGUACUUUCGUCAGUGGUUUGGACUCUCACCGACAAGACGCUUUGUCAGCUGCCUCACCAAGGAAUCAUGAAAAUUGGAGUUGUUGGGUUAGGUUAAUAUGGACUAUUGUUUGUGCUCUAAAGAACCCAUCCUUUUUCUUCUUUCUCUAUUAAGAAGAGAAGGGGGAGAUGUGGGAUAAAGAAAGUCAUUAUCAUGCUAAUGAGUAAAAAAGCUUAGUAA